UACGGAGGUUCCAAGCGUUGUUCGGAAUUACUGGGCGUAAAGGGAGCGUAGGCGGACAGGUCAGUCUGAAGUGGAAUUCCGGGGCUCAACUUCGGACUUGCUUCGGAUACUACCUGUCUUGAGUUCGCGAUAGGAAGAUGGAAUUCAGGGUGUAGCGGUGAAAUGCACAGAUAUCCUGAGGAACACCGGUGGCGAAAGCGGUCUUCUGGCGCGAAACUGACGCUGAGGCUCGAAAGCGUGGGUAGCAAACGGGAUUAGAAACCCUAGUAGUCC
rnacentral:rRNA from 1 species